rnacentral:rRNA from 1 species
CGUGUGGUUCUAUUUUGUUGGUUAUGGGACCGCCGUAAUGAUUAAUAGGGACAGUCGGGGGCAUCAGUAUUCAAUUGUCAGAGGUGAAAUUCUUGGAUUUAUUGAAGACUAACUACUGCGAAAGCAUUUGCCAAGGAUGUUUUCAUUAAUCAGGAACGAAAGUUAGGGGAUCGAAGACGAUCAGAUACCGUCGUAGUCUUAACCAUAAACUAUGCCGACUAGGGAUCGGGCGAUGUUACUUUUUGACUCGCUCGGCACCUUACGAGAAAUCAAAGUUUGUGGGUUCCUGGGGGAGUAUGGUGGCAACGCUGAAACUUAAAGAAAUUGACGGAAGGGCACCACCAGGGGUGGAGCCUGCGGCUUAAUUUGACUCAACACGGGGAAACUCACCAGGUCCAGACACAAUGAGGAUUGACAGAUUGAGAGCUCUUUCUUGAUUUUGUGGGUGGUGGUGCAUGGCCGUUCUUAGUUGGUGGAGUGAUUUGUCUGCUUAAUUGCGAUAACGAACGAGACCUUAACCUGCUAAAUAGCCCGUGUUGCUUCUGCAGCACGCCGGCUUCUUAGAGGGACUAUCGGCUCAAGCCGAUGGAAGUUUGAGGCAAUAACAGGUCUGUGAUGCCCUUAGAUGUUCUGGGCCGCACGCGCGCGACACUGACAGGGCCAGCGAGUUCUCCCCUGUCCGAAAGGACCGGGUAAUCUUGUUAAACCCUGUCGUGC